GCUUACGGACAUACCACCCUGAGCGCGCCCGAUCUCGUCUGAUCUCGGAAGCUAAGCAGGGUCGGGCCUGGUUAGUACUUGGAUGGGAGACCGCCUGGGAAUACCAGGUGCUAAUAAUCA
rnacentral:rRNA from 1 species